rnacentral:rRNA from 1 species
AUUGAACGCUGGCGGCAUGCCUUACACAUGCAAGUCGAACGGCAGCACGGGAGCAAUCCUGGUGGCGAGUGGCGAACGGGUGAGUAAUAUAUCGGAACGUGCCCAGUCGUGGGGGAUAACGCAGCGAAAGCUGUGCUAAUACCGCAUACGAUCUAUGGAUGAAAGCGGGGGAUCGCAAGACCUCGCGCGAUUGGAGCGGCCGAUAUCAGAUUAGCGAGUUGGUGAGGUAAAGGCUCACCAAGGCGACGAUCUGUAGCUGGUCUGAGAGGACGACCAGCCACACUGGAACUGAGACACGGUCCAGACUCCUACGGGAGGCAGCAGUGGGGAAUUUUGGACAAUGGGCGAAAGCCUGAUCCAGCAAUGCCGCGUGCAGGAUGAAGGCCUUCGGGUUGUAAACUGCUUUUGUACGGAACGAAACGGUGAGCUCUAAUACAGUUUGCUAAUGACGGUACCGUAAGAAUAAGCACCGGCUAACUACGUGCCAGCCGCCGCGGUAAUAC